UUUCCGUAGGUGAACCUGCGGAAGGAUCAUUAUUGUAUAACCGAGGUGCGAGGGCUGUCGCUGACCCGAAAGGUCGUGCACGCCCGAGUGCCCUCACACCCCGCCAUCUCACCCCUACGUGCACCACCGCGUGGGUCCCCCUUUGGCUUGUUCGGAGGGGGGCUUACGUGUUCACACGAACUUUGUAUGCAGUGUAGAAUGUAUUUUCUGUGUUUGCGAUCACGCAAUCAAUACAACUUUCAACAACGGAUCUCUUGGCUCUC
rnacentral:misc_RNA from 1 species